AGCGAACGCUGGCGGCAGGCCUAACACAUGCAAGUCGAGCGCCCCGCAAGGGGAGCGGCAGACGGGAGAGUAACACGUGGGAACAUGCCCUUCAGUACGGAACAACCAAGGGAAACUUUGGCUAAUGCCGUAUACGCCCGUAAGGGGAAAGAUUUAUCGCUGAAGGAUUGGCCCGCGUCUGAUUAGCUAGUUGGUGGGGUAAUGGCCCACCAAGGCGACGAUCAGUAGCUGGUCUGAGAGGAUGAUCAGCCUCACUGGGACUGAGACACGGCCCAGACUCCUGCGGGAGGCAGCAGUGGGGAAUAUUGGACAAUGGGCGCAAGCCUGAUCCAGCCAUGCCGCGUGGAUGAUGAAGGCCUUAGGGUUGUAAAGCUCUUUCACCGGUGAAGAUAAUGACGGUAACCGGAGAAGAAGCCCCGGCUAACUUCGUGCCAGCAGCCGCCGUAACAC
rnacentral:rRNA from 1 species